rnacentral:rRNA from 1 species
AGAGUUUGAUCAUGGCUCAGAAUCAACGCUGGCGGCGUGCCUAACACAUGCAAGUCGCACGAGAAAGGGGCUUCGGCCUUGAGUAAAGUGGCGCACGGGUGAGUAACACGUGAAUCAUCUACCUUCGAGUGGGGAACAACUGGGAGAAAUCUCAGCUAAUACCGCAUAAUACCUACGGGUCAAAGCAGCAAUGCGCUUGAAGAGGAGUUCGCGGCAGAUUAGUUAGUUGGCGGGGUAAUGGCCCACCAAGACGAUGAUCUGUAUCCGGCCUGAGAGGGCGCACGGACACACUGGAACUGAAACACGGUCCAGACUCCUACGGGAGGCAGCAGUGGGGAAUUUUGCGCAAUGGGGGAAACCCUGACGCAGCAACGCCGCGUGGAGGAUGAAAUAUCUUGGUAUGUAAACUCCUUUCGAUGGGGAAGAUUAUGACGGUACCCAUAGAAGAAGCCCCGGCUAACUUCGUGCCAGCAGCCGCGGUAAUACGAGGGGGGCAAGCGUUGUUCGGAUUUAUUGGGCGUAAAGGGUGCGUAGGCGGUUUGGCAAGUCUUAUGUGAAAUCUUCGGGCUCAACCCGAAGUCUGCAUAAGAAACUGCCGGGCUUGAGUAUGGGAGAGGUGAGUGGAAUUUCCGGUGUAGCGGUGAAAUGCGUAGAUAUCGGAAGGAACACCUGUGGCGAAAGCGGCUCACUGGACCAUAACUGACGCUGAUGCACGAAAGCUAGGGGAGCAAACAGGAUUAGAUACCCUAGUAGUCC